rnacentral:tRNA from 1 species
CAAAAAAUAGUUUAAAUAAAAUAAUAAUUUUGGGAAUUAUUGAUAAAGUAAUUUCUUUUUUUUUGA